rnacentral:tRNA from 1 species
GCCCAGUUAGCUUGGUUGGCAGAGCAUCUGCCUUGUAAGCACCAGGCCGCAGGUUCGAUUCCCGCCCAUGGCA